GUAGAAGAUACCUCGUGUCCCACUAGACUAGUAUGAGAUAGCUUCCGUACCACUUGACCAGCAAAUGUGUUUUGCACAAGUAUGAUUGAUUAUAAUUUUUAUGUUUGAAUUAACUAUUAAGACAAUGUUUUGGGUAGUUGAUUUGCUGUGGAACUUAGAUUGAUGUUGGAAAUGGAAUAUUUUCAAAUUAAUUGAUGAUAUUUUGGAAUAAUCUCCUAUAGCAUUAUCGGUCUCCUUUUCAUAAUUGAUUUGUUAUAAUCCAAGCGUUUCUUUUGAAUUCUCUGGCAUGCACCUGUCCGCAUCACAAUGCUUGUUAAAUGAUCUGGUGGCAGCUGCCAUCUUUGGGUACUGAGAUUUUACCAUCAUUCGGGUGCUUCAAUCAUGGUUUACAGCUGGUGGGGUGCACCGAUCCUCGUAUAGUUUGAGAAGAAUAAAGUUUGAGAAGAAUAAAGGUAAGGCUGCAUUGUAAAUGUCGGUGAACAUAUCAAUGGCCUCUACUUUUGUUUUUUCUCUUUCCUACUUUCCAUGGUAAUGUAGGGGGUGAUCUCAGGCACUUUUUUGAAGCAAGGGGAAGAUAUAAGCUCAUCCUUGCUCUGCAAAAAGUACAUUUUGAGUCUGCUCAACUGUCAAAUAUUACAUACAGUGUAAUUAAGAGAUGUAAGUGUUGCUAUAACAAACAAGCCUUUAAGCGAACCUUGAUGGAGUUCAGUGGGUGUUGUCAAAUUUCCCACUCUUUUCUCCCUCCGCUUGAUCCUGUUAUAAGGUUUAAAGUAGAGGUGUUCAUAUGCAUGCAAUAACUCGUGGCGUGAUCUGUUAGGAGAAUGUGACCUCUUCUAUGCUAUCCAGGCACAGAUAGGACUCUUGAUUGGCACCCUCGAGUGCUCAACGAAUCUUGAAUGUGUGAGGUAUGCAGGGAGGGCAUACUCACCAACGCGAUCUCGAAUUCGUGCCAAUUUUUUUAGGACUAAUAAAUUGAUUUCACUUGUAAAUUAGCAUCUACCAAACGGAGCAGGUCAGAGACUAUAUCCUAAACAAUACUGAAGCAAAUCAAGCGCUCUACAGGAUUAUUGAUCAAGUCUUCUCGGAAAAUUGCAUCCGAAUGAUCUAAAUUCUUCCCGGUACUGGAAGAUCCUUAGGAUCCUCCGAUGUAUUCGGAAGGAUGAUCAGUGGGAAACUGUGUUUUUCACUGAAGAUGACAAUCACUGGGAAAGGGGAAUGCAGUAUUAUAAAUGCUUCAUAAUGUAAGAGAGCUAACUUUGGAGUUCAUGUAUAAAAAUUGCAAAAUGUGAAAGGCAAAAUGCUUGAUUUUUCUCCUGCAAAGAACACGCGUCGUUGUCAGGUGUAACACUGUAAAAACUUCUAUUAAAGAGAAAUUGAUGAAGAAAACGAAGGAAGCUCAUUUCAGUUUUCAGGACUGUUAAAGACUGAUGAAUAAUGUCUUUUCGACUGUCUGCACAAUUUCCAUAUGCCUUCCUUUUUCACAACAAGACCGUGAAAUCGGCACCAGAAAGUUCAUAAUCACUCGAUUCUCUUCUCUCACAGGUAAAGGGGCCAACUUUUAGAGUUACCAAACAGCAAACCCCCUGUUAGAUUGUUCGUUUUGCCACUGGCAUUUAGGGAAUCUCAAUUUGUUCAUUUGUGAUUAUUGACAUGGCAAGGAUGUCUGUGUUUGGAUUCUGGGCUCUGAUCCUCCUAGCUGGAACUGCCUACUUGUCUUCCACUUACUCGUCUUCUCAUGGUCAUGGUUCUGCAUAACCUAGUUGCAUAGCUGGAAGAGCUCUGCACCAAGUUAAUAUAGUGGUCAGUGGUCCUACCUUUCCAUAUUAAGGAAGAUGUCAUGUGAAAUUGAUUUUUUCGAGCUCAUCGGACUUUCGUAUCAUGACCUGUGACGAACAAAAAAUUUCAAAUUCUUAAUUGAAGUUUAAUACUGUCUCUUUUCUGAUCAUUUCUGUUAUAUCGAAUUAAACCCAGAUUUGAAUUUCUCCAAAACUGAAGAUAGCACAACAGCUACAACAUCAUUCAAAGAACCAAAGGAGGGAUGCUAUAGUCAGCGCAUUUCUAGUGAAGAGAUUCAGAAGGACAACAUAAAUAUGGAGGGCUAUAGCAAUAUUGAUCCAACUCCGAAAUCUACUGCCACCAUAGUAUCCAGACCAAUCGAGCAUGGCACUCCUCUCGUACCUUACAUUCCAGGACCAACACUGCUGGAUCACCCGAAGCCAGGCAGGUUCAAAUCACCGCCUUCGCCUGCUUAACCGUUUUAUCACCAGCCAAAAACAAGUCCUUACAUCAGACAUGGUAGUUUUGAAAUACGGAGCUAUUUCAAAGAUGAGGUUGUUUUCUGAAGUCUUAUAUCAGGUAGUCACCAUCAUAAGCUGUCCUUAGUUUGUUUGCUUGAAUGAUGAAAUCUUAAAGGCAGACUUGUAUAUCGCAUCGUUGCAAAA